CGAACGAACUCUGGUAUUGAUUGGUGCUUGCAUCAUGAUUUACAUUUGAGUGAGUGGCGAACUGGUGAGUAACACGUGGGAAACCUGCCCAGAAGCGGGGGAUAACACCUGGAAACAGAUGCUAAUACCGCAUAACAACUUGGACCGCAUGGUCCGAGUUUGAAAGAUGGCUUCGGCUAUCACUUUUGGAUGGUCCCGCGGCGUAUUAGCUAGAUGGUGAGGUAACGGCUCACCAUGGCAAUGAUACGUAGCCGACCUGAGAGGGUAAUCGGCCACAUUGGGACUGAGACACGGCCCAAACUCCUACGGGAGGCAGCAGUAGGGAAUCUUCCACAAUGGACGAAAGUCUGAUGGAGCAACGCCGCGUGAGUGAAGAAGGGUUUCGGCUCGUAAAACUCUGUUGUUAAAGAAGAACAUAUCUGAGAGUAACUGUUCAGGUAUUGACGGUAUUUAACCAGAAAGCCACGGCUAACUACGUGCCAGCAGCCGCGGUAAUACGUAGGUGGCAAGCGUUGUCCGGAUUUAUUGGGCGUAAAGCGAGCGCAGGCGGUUUUUUAAGUCUGAUGUGAAAGCCUUCGGCUCAACCGAAGAAGUGCAUCGGAAACUGGGAAACUUGAGUGCAGAAGAGGACAGUGGAACUCCAUGUGUAGCGGUGAAAUGCGUAGAUAUAUGGAAGAACACCAGUGGCGAAGGCGGCUGUCUGGUCUGUAACUGACGCUGAGGCUCGAAAGUAUGGGUAGCAAACAGGAUUAGAUACCCUGGUAGUCCAUACCGUAAACGAUGAAUGCUAAGUGUUGGAGGGUUUCCGCCCUUCAGUGCUGCAGCUAACGCAUUAAGCAUUCCGCCUGGGGAGUACGGCCGCAAGGCUGAAACUCAAAGGAAUUGACGGGGGCCCGCACAAGCGGUGGAGCAUGUGGUUUAAUUCGAAGCUACGCGAAGAACCUUACCAGGUCUUGACAUACUAUGCAAAUCUAAGAGAUUAGACGUUCCCUUCGGGGACAUGGAUACAGGUGGUGCAUGGUUGUCGUCAGCUCGUGUCGUGAGAUGUUGGGUUAAGUCCCGCAACGAGCGCAACCCUUAUUAUCAGUUGCCAGCAUUAAGUUGGGCACUCUGGUGAGACUGCCGGUGACAAACCGGAGGAAGGUGGGGAUGACGUCAAAUCAUCAUGCCCCUUAUGACCUGGGCUACACACGUGCUACAAUGGAUGGUACAACGAGUUGCGAACUCGCGAGAGUAAGCUAAUCUCUUAAAGCCAUUCUCAGUUCGGAUUGUAGGCUGCAACUCGCCUACAUGAAGUCGGAAUCGCUAGUAAUCGCGGAUCAGCAUGCCGCGGUGAAUACGUUCCCGGGCCUUGUACACACCGCCCGUCACACCAUGAGAGUUUGUAACACCCAAAGUCGGUGGGGUAACCUUUUAGGAACCAG
rnacentral:rRNA from 1 species